CAUUAAUUGUUGAUGCUUUAUAGGUGGAAUUCUUUCCCAUUCUUCCAUGAUGUGCAGCUUCAGCUGUUCAACAGUCCGGAGUCUCGGUUGUCAAAUUUUAUGCUUCACAAUGCGCCACACAUUUUCAAUGGGAGACAGGUAUGGACUGCAGGCAAGCCAGUCGAGUACCCGCACUAAUGUGUAAGUUACCCAUGCCACUGGCACUAACACAGCCCCAUACCACCGCAGAUUUUGGCUUUUGAACUUGGCGUCCAUAACAGUCUGGAUGGUUCUUUUCCUCUUUGGCCCGGAGGACACAACGUCCACAAUGUCUAAAAACAAUUUUAAAUGU